GGCUCGUUAGCUCAGUUGGUAAGAGCUCCAGGCUGAAUAACUGGCGGUCGUGGGUUCAAAUCCCACACGAGCCC